AAUUCAACCUCAAUAAGCUGCUCUAAUGCUGUAUCUAUGGAUCUCCUGAUUUGCGAGAGUGAUGCAAACACAUCCAUGAUUUCCGUAUUGAACAAAAUCACCGAUCUGAUGACCUCUGGUAGAACAACUUCAACCAUUUGGCUAACCAAAUUUUUACAGGAAAGCAAACAGGUUUUAAAAAUUGAAGUCCAAUUACUAUCAAAUAAUGAUUCAGACGUGUCAACAACUGUAUCAAUACUCCUAUAAUCCAUGCGGACAUACUGCUGAAGCUCAUUCAGAAACUUUGCUACUAGCAUGCAUUUUUCUACUUGCUCCUCAAAUUCAGAGAAAGAAGUUCCAAGAUCAGAG
rnacentral:misc_RNA from 1 species